GAUGAACGCUGGCGGCGUGCCUAAUACAUGCAAGUCGAACGAAGAUCUAGCUUGCUAGAUCUUAGUGGCGAACGGGUGAGUAAUACAUAAAUAAUCUACCCAUAUGACUGGGAUAACUAUUGGAAACGAUAGCUAAUACCGGAUAGGUUGAUUGGAGGCAUCUCUGAUUAAUUAAAGUAGGAUUUCUACACAAAUGGAUGAGUUUAUGGCGCAUUAGUUAGUUGGUGGGGUAACGGCCUACCAAGACGAUGAUGCGUAGCCGACCUGAGAGGGUGACCGGCCACACUGGGACUGAGACACGGCCCAGACUCCUACGGGAGGCAGCAGUAGGGAAUUUUCGGCAAUGGGCGCAAGCCUGACCGAGCAACGCCGCGUGAGUGAUUAAGGCCUUCGGGUUGUAAAGCUCUGUUGUAGGGGAAGAACAUUCAGGAUAGGAAAUGAUCUUGAACUGACGGUACCUUACCAGAAAGCCACGGCUAACUACGUGCCAGCAGCCGCUGUAACAC
rnacentral:rRNA from 1 species